UGAAUACGAGACGCUAAGGCGUCGAAGUAGUGUAUGUCAUACUUCCAAGAAAAGCUUGCACUGUCAUAGAUAAAAAACGCCUGUACCAUAACCGACACAGGUGGGUAGGUAGAGUAUACUAAGGGGCGCGAGGUAACUCUCUCUAAGGAACUCGGCAAAAUAACUCCGUAACUUCGGGAGAAGGAGUGCCUUAUUCGUAAGGUUGCAAUAACAAGAUCCAAGCAACUGUUUAUCAAAAACACAGGUCUCCGCUAAGUCGUAAGACGAUGUAUGGGGGCUGACGCCUGCCCAGUGCCAGAAGGUUAAAGAAGUUGGUUAGCAAUUGCGAAGCUGAUAACUGAAGCCCUGGUGAACGGCGGCCGUAACGAUAACGGUCCUAAGGUAGCGAAAUUCCUUGUCGGGUAAGUUCCGACCCGCACGAAAGGCGUAAUGAUUUGGAUACUGUCGGAGAGGGGCUCGGUGAAAUAGACUUGUCUGUGAAGAUGCGGACUACCUGCACCAGGACAGAAAGACCCUAUGAAGCUUUACUGUAACUUGAAAUUGAAAUUGGACUUUAUUCGCGCAGUAUAGGUGGGAGGCGUUGAUUAUAAUCUUGUGGGAUUAUUGGAGCCAUCAGUGAGAUACCACUCUUGUAAUGUUAGAUUUCUAACUUUGAAUCAUUAUCUGGUCAAAGAACAGUUUCAGGCGGGCAGUUUGACUGGGGCGGUCGCCUCCUAAACGGUAACGGAGGCGUACAAAGGUUUCCUCUGAACGGUUAGAAAUCGUAUCUAGAGUGUAAAGGCAUAAGGAAGCUUGACUGUGAGACCUACAAGUCGAGCAGGGACGAAAGUCGGUCUUAGUGAUCUGACGGUACUGAGUGGAAAGGCCGUCACUCAACGGAUAAAAGUUACUCUAGGAUAACAGGCUGAUCUCCCCCAAGAGUUCACAUCGACGGGGAGGUUUGGCACCUGAUGUCGGCUCAUCGCAUCCUGGGGCGGUAGUACGUCCCAAGGGUUGGGCUGUUCGCCCAUGAAAGCGGUACGCGAGCUGGGUUCAGAACGUCGUGAGACAGUUCGGUCCAUAUCCGGUGUAGGCGUUAGAAUAUUGAGAGGAGCCUUCUUUAGUACGAGAGGACCGAGAAGGACAUACCUCUGGUGUACCAGUUAUCGUGCCAACGGUAAACGCUGGGUAGCUAUGUAUGGAGUGGAUAACCGCUGAAAGCAUCUAAGUGGGAAGCCCACCUCAAGAUAAGUAUUCUCACC
rnacentral:rRNA from 1 species